rnacentral:rRNA from 1 species
UACGUAGGGGGCAAGCGUUAUCCGGAUUUACUGGGUGUAAAGGGAGCGUAGACGGCAGUGCAAGUCUGGAGUGAAAGGCGGGAGCUCAACCCCCGGACUGCUCUGGAAACUGUACGGCUGGAGUGCAGGAGAGGUAAGUGGAAUUCCUAGUGUAGCGGUGAAAUGCGUAGAUAUUAGGAGGAACACCAGUGGCGAAGGCGGCUUACUGGACUGUAACUGACGUUGAGGCUCGAAAGCGUGGGGAGCAAACAGG